UUGCACACUCACCUGUCUUCGUUGUCAGUCUCGUGUCUUUAAUUAUCUGCUUCGCUGUAACACUACAGCCGGGAUGAAGCUGUCAAAUAUGGUUAAAUACAAUGGAUUUUCAUAUGCUUUGUAUCUGUAAAUAACCUUUUUAUGCAGUGCUACCUUUCUCAAAUCCUAAAAAAAGUCUAUUAGGAUUCUGCAAUUGUAUGAACUAGUUCUUUUCUAGCGUAACCCGGCCUCUCAUCAACCUCUCAUCAGCCAGUUUGAAACUGAAGAUUAAUUUCAUUUGAAUAGUUGCAUUUAAGAUUUAUGAUGGAUUAUAUAGACAUGUAGAAUUUAGGGUCGCCUAGAGAAAAAGAAGUGUUUGAUUUAUGUUUUAUUCUUAAAGCACUGAGCAAAUGUUGUAUUUUAGGAGAUAUUGAACUUGACAUUGACUGCAUUUGUAUUCGGCUGCUGUCAUAGAGCCUUGUUAAAAUGUCAGACUGAAUCAGGACGUUGUUGUGUCGACGCCAUCGCUGAUCAAUUCCAGUGAAAUGAAACAGAGUCAUUUUUCCUCACCUUCUUUCUUUGCUUUAAAGUCCUGACAGUAUCGGACAAGUCGCCUGCUCCUUGAAGAAGUAACACGUCUGUCUCUCUUUAUUAAAGGUUUUUCGUCAUCUUUAAUAUCAUCUCCACCAUUAAGAUGCUGACUGUGUCACUGUUUGUUUGUGCCCUGAUGGCUCUGACUCCCAGCUGCUGGCAUGAACGCCACUGUCAUUUUGUAUUUCUUCUACAUCUUUUUCAUUCUUUGGAAACACAUUCAUGUUUGCUACACUUGACUCAGCAAACACCACUGUGAAAGUCCAGCCAGCCCUGAAUUAUGUUUUAUUUUUUAUAGCACUGAGCAAAUGUUUUCUUUAGGAGAUAUUAAAGUUGACUUUGUAUUGGGCUGCUGUCAGAUGAGGCUUGUUCAUCAUGUGAGACGGAAUCAGGACGUUGUUGGGUCGACGCCAUCGCUGAAUCAAUUCCAGUGAAAUGAAACAAUGAGUCAUUUUUCCUCACUUAAAAUAAAACUAGCUAUAAACUCUGAUAUCUUCAGUAUCCGUAUCAGUACAAGUACUGUGUCCCUGAAGAAUGUUACAAACCCCUCCCCCGGUCCCUGUCCCCCGCCAUAUCUUUUUUUAUGUUAAUCCUGUUCAGCACUUUGGUCAACUGUGAGUGUUUCAAAUGUGUUAUAUGAAUAAACUUUGACCUUGACCUUC